rnacentral:rRNA from 1 species
UACGGAGGGGGCGAGCGUUAUUCGGAAUUAUUGGGCGUAAAGGGCGCGUAGGCGGCUAGGUAAGUCAAAGGUGAAAUCCCUCGGCUCAACUGAGGAACUGCCUUUGAAACUGUUUAGCUUGAGGCCGGGAGGGGGUGGCGGAAUUCCCAGUGUAGCGGCGAAAUGCGUAGAUAUUGGGAGGAACACCAGUGGCGAAGGCGGCCACCUGGACCGGUUCUGACGCUGAUGCGCGAAAGCGUGGGUAGCAAACAGG